rnacentral:rRNA from 1 species
UACGUAGGGGGCAAGCGUUGUCCGGAAUCAUUGGGCGUAAAGAGCGCGUAGGCGGUCCGGUAAGUCCGCUCUGAAAGCCCGGGGGCUCAACCCCCGGGAGGCGGGCGGAUACUGUCGGGCUAGAGUCCGGAAGAGGCGAGUGGAAUUCCUGGUGUAGCGGUGAAAUGCGCAGAUAUCAGGAGGAACACCGAUGGCGAAGGCAGCUCGCUGGGACGGUACUGACGCUGAGGCGCGAAAGCGUGGGGAGCGAACAGG